UGAUUUCACCAGCAUAUGCUGUCAGCUGU
rnacentral:piRNA from 1 species